ensembl:misc_RNA 7SK 7SK RNA
GGAUGUGGGAAUGAUCUGGCCGUGACAUCUGUCACUCUACUGAUGCAGCUGAUAUGGCUGGCUGGGCGGGUGUCCCCUUCCUCGCUUACUGUGCCACGUGCAUUCUUCCCGAAGGUGCACACUCCUUCUCUGGUGGAGGACCACCAUUUCUGUGGUCAAGGGAGUGCUUGUGCUCCCCUGUGAGAACCUCCAGAUGAGCUCUCAGGAAUGCAAAGGAAAAAGAAGGAAAAUAGGACCUUAAAGAUCAAGAGGAAAUCUUUCUUUUU